rnacentral:misc_RNA from 1 species
GUUCCGUAGGUGAACCUGCGGAAGGAUCAUUAUUGUAUAACCGAGGUGCGAGGGCUGUCGCUGACCCGAAAGGUCGUGCACGCCCGAGUGCCCUCACACACAUCCAUCUCACCCCUAUGUGCACCACCGCGUGGGUCCCCCUUUGGCUUGUUCGGAGGGGGGCUUACGUUUUCACACAAACUUUGUAUGCAGUGUAGAAUGAAUUUUUUGUUUUUGCGAUCACGCAAUCAAUACAACUUUCAACAACGGAUCUCUUGGCUCUC